AACGAACGCUGGCGGCGUGGAUAAGACAUGCAAGUCGAACGAGAGAAUUGCUAGCUUGCUAAUAAUUCUCUAGUGGCGCACGGGUGAGUAACACGUGAGUAACCUGCCCCCGAGAGCGGGAUAGCCCUGGGAAACUGGGAUUAAUACCGCAUAGUAUCGAAAGAUUAAAGCAGCAAUGCGCUUGGGGAUGGGCUCGCGGCCUAUUAGUUAGUUGGUGAGGUAACGGCUCACCAAGGCGAUGACGGGUAGCCGGUCUGAGAGGAUGUCCGGCCACACUGGAACUGAGACACGGUCCAGACACCUACGGGUGGCAGCAGUCGAGAAUCAUUCACAAUGGGGGAAACCCUGAUGGUGCGACGCCGCGUGGGGGAAUGAAGGUCUUCGGAUUGUAAACCCCUGUCAUGUGGGAGCAAAUUAAAAAGAUAGUACCACAAGAGGAAGAGACGGCUAACUCUGUGCUAGCAGCCGCGGUAAUACAGAGGUCUCAAGCGUUGUUCGGAAUCACUGGGCGUAAAGCGUGCGUAGGCUGUUUCGUAAGUCGU
rnacentral:rRNA from 1 species